rnacentral:rRNA from 1 species
GUGGGGAAUCUUGCGCAAUGGGCGAAAGCCUGACGCAGCCAUGCCGCGUGAAUGAUGAAGGUCUUAGGAUUGUAAAAUUCUUUCACCGGGGACGAUAAUGACGGUACCCGGAGAAGAAGCCCCGGCUAACUUCGUGCCAGCAGCCGCGGUAAUACGAAGGGGGCUAGCGUUGCUCGGAAUUACUGGGCGUAAAGGGCGCGUAGGCGGACAGUUAAGUUGGGGGUGAAAGCCCGGGGCUCAACCUCGGAACUGCCUUCAAUACUGGCUGUCUUGAGUAUGAGAGAGGUGUGUGGAACUCCGAGUGUAGAGGUGAAAUUCGUAGAUAUUCGGAAGAACACCAGUGGCGAAGGCGACACACUGGCUCAUUACUGACGCUGAGGCGCGAAAGCGUGGGGAGCAAACAGGAUUAGAAACCCGAGUAGUCC